rnacentral:rRNA from 1 species
CACGUAGUUAGCCGUGACUUUCUAAGUAAUUACCGUCAAAUAAAGGCCAGUUACUACCUCUAUCUUUCUUCACUACCAACAGAGCUUUACGAGCCGAAACCCUUCUUCACUCACGCGGCGUUGCUCCAUCAGACUUUCGCCCAUUGUGGAAGAUUCCCUACUGCUGCCUCCCGUAGGAGUUUGGGCCGUGUCUCAGUCCUAAUGUGGCCGAUCAGUCUCUCAACUCGGCUAUGCAUCAUUGCCUUGGUAAGCCGUUACCUUACCAACUAGCUAAUGCACCGCAGGUCCAUACCAAGAGUGAUAGCAAGAACCAUCUUUACAAACUCUAGACAUGCGUCUAGUGUUGUAUCCGGUAUUAGCAUCUUGUUCCGUAGGUUCGUUACUCCUACGUUCUCGUU